rnacentral:lncRNA from 1 species
CAUUUUCCCAUGACAGCUCAGCAGAUUAAAGCUGAUGGCAGCUGCCCCUUGUGGGGCUUGAACACCCUCCAGACCCCACAGCAUGGCCCCAUCUCCAGCUCCUGACCAUGCUGCUCAUGGAAGCGUACUUGCCUGGCUCCUCACUGCAAGGCAGCUGAGCUUUCUGACCCCUGAGUCAAAUAUCCCUUAGCUCCUGUUAUUUUUAAAAUUAUUUUUCUAGGAAAUAAGUAAAUCUAUUUUCAUUUUUAUUUUUUUAAUUUUAACCCAGAAUGUGGCAAAUAUGCAUAUAUAUAUACAAUGGAAUAUUAUUCAGUCUUUAAAAAGAAUGAAAUCCUUAGCUCUUUGUAAACCUUCCUCUCUUUCAUCUCCUGCUCUUUUUCCAGCCUCUUCACUCAUAACAGCCAAAAGUGGUUUUCUUGUCCUGAGAAUCUCAUUAAAUUAUUUUUAUGAAACACCAUAGAUAGAACUUGGACAGGGCUCACACUGACUUUCUUAUGGGGUGUAAAAAAAGUAAAAGACCAAGGGUCCAGAGAAAUGAUGUUUUGCUCUAGAUCUGCCUGCAGCCUAUUUGGUAACCACUGUAUCCUUGGCGACAGCACCACGCCUAGCAACAAGAAGAUGCUUGGUUACACACCUUACCAGGGUCUCCGGGAUUUGCCACUUAACCAGUUGGUCCUCAAGUUUCAUCCAGCUCUGGUUUCUGUGACUCUACUCCCAGGGACUGAAGCACAGCUCCAAAUGCAACUGAAUCUGGGCCUCUACCUGCCAGCCACCAAUCCCUCCCCUGAGCCCAGUGACUUCUAAGCGCUGCUCAGAAGGAUCUGCCACAACUCAGUCCUGUCCUUUUGUUUGGAGUCCUUCCCUACAAUGACCUAACUCUGUGUUGCCAACCAAGAGGCCGCCUCUCCCUCUCUCCCUGGCCCCCUUCCCUCCCCACCCCAAUCCCUACCACAGCUCUUGGGUGCACAUGUGCUCUCCCUCUUUCAAACAGACAAAUAAAAUCUUUUUAAAAAUAAAAUCA